rnacentral:misc_RNA from 1 species
GGAAGUAAAAGUCGUAACAAAGUUUCCGUAGGUGAACCUGCGGAAGGAUCAUUAUCAUGUAAUUCAGUCCCCUUGGCUGUGUUAUAUAUAUACCCACUCUGUGUACCUUCUCCUGUUGCUUCCGCUGGGUGUGUAAUUCGCCCGGCGGAAGGGUAAAAAUAACCUCUGAGUAUUGAUGAAAUCUCUGUCUGAACCGAAUAGAAAGAAAAAUGUUAAAACUUUCAGCAACGGAUCUCUUGGUUCUC